CUUGUAAUGAGGGAAGCUCGCAAGAGCAAGGAUACAGGUGGUGCAUGGUUGUCGUCAGCUCGUGUCGUGAGAUGUUGGGUUAAGUCCCGCAACGAGCGCAACCCUUGUUGUUAAUUGCUAACAGGUUAAGCUGAGCACUUUAGCGAGACAGCCUAGGUUAACUAGGAGGAAGGUGGGGAUGACGUCAAAUCAUCAUGCCCCUUACGUUUAGGGCUACACACGUGCUACAAUGGUGAGAACAGAGAGAAGCAAGCUAGUGAUAGUGAGCAAAACUUAUAAAACUCAUCUCAGUUCGGAUUGCAGGCUGAAACUCGCCUGUAUGAAGAUGGAGUUGCUAGUAAUCGCGAAUCAGAAUGUCGCGGUGAAUACGUUCCCGGGUCUUGUACACACCGCCCGUCACACCAUGAGAGUUGGCAACACCCGAAACCUGUGGGCUAACCAUAUAGGAGGCAGCAGUCUAAGGUGGGGUCAGUGAUUGGGGUGAAGUCGUAACAAGGUAGCCGUAGGAGAACCUGCGG
rnacentral:rRNA from 1 species